CCAAAUAACAUUAGGAUCCAUUUACUUGCACUGCAUGGAAGUACUUUACUUCAGUUGUGCGGACAAAAAAACACUGAGACAUUUCUCAGAGUAUCUUCUAUGUUCAACAAUAGAAAGAAACUCAUAGGUUUGGAACAUAUUGAGGGAGGAAUGUUGUUGGAGAAGCUUAUCAAUCAGUCAGACAGCUGACAUUUAUCUUGCAGUCUGACUCGGCCUCCCUCAGCUGUAGCCUGUAUUCACAUUCCUAUCACAUUUACCUGGAGCAUCUGGACGAGUCUCAUGCCGUUGGAUCAUUUGCAAACAAAGAUCCUCCGGGGAUUUGGACGAUCUCCCUGUCCUGUCUCGACUCUUCACGUGUGGGGCCUGCGCUAUAGUUUCACUAAACAGAAGCGACGCUUUGCAUCUGGGUUUCAUCACCUCAGGGAGCUACAAAUCAACAAUCAUCUCUCUCACGCCGUUAGUGCUCACGGGGAAAACAAGAGCUAGGGAGGCAAGCGUGCAAGUAAGUGUGCUUCGUGUUUGGUGGGGAAAGCACCAUGUAAAUAAAUUCCUGUGCGAGGGGCUGACAUUGAAGGAAAGAAUUCCCUUCUGGAAAACUCCACCCUAGUGUGGCGUGAGGUGAGGGGAGGUGAAACAGUCGAGCCCCUCGUGCGACCGCGGACCGUUACGAUGGGAGGAAAUGACGCUAUAGCCUUAAGUUCGCCGCCAUUAGAGACAAUGGAACCGGGCUUCCUUGAAUUGUGCCUAGUUUCCACAGCUCAGUGUAAGACAACACACGGAGGGCUAACUUUUCCCUAA